rnacentral:rRNA from 1 species
UACGAAGGGGGCUAGCGUUGCUCGGAAUCACUGGGCGUAAAGGGUGCGUAGGCGGGUCUUUAAGUCGGGUAGGGUGAAAUCCUGGAGCUCAACUCCAGAACUGCCUUUGAUACUGGCGGAUCUUUGAGUUCCGGGAAGAGGUGAGUGGAAUCGUCGAGUGUAGAGGUGAAAUUCGUAGAUAUUAGGAAGAAACACCAGUGGCGAAGGCGGCUCACUGGUCCGGUACUGACGCUGAGGUGCGAAAGCGUGGGGAGCAAACAGG